rnacentral:tRNA from 1 species
GGGAAGGUGGCUCAGUGGUAGAGUGCUUGCCUUGCAUACAUGAGGCCCUGGGUUCAAUUCCUCAGCACCCA